rnacentral:rRNA from 1 species
AUUGAACGCUGGCGGCAUGCUUUACACAUGCAAGUCGAACGGCAGCGCGGGCUUCGGCCUGGCGGCGAGUGGCGAACGGGUGAGUAAUGCAUCGGAACGUGCCCAGUAGUGGGGGAUAGCCCGGCGAAAGCCGGAUUAAUACCGCAUACGACCUGAGGGUGAAAGCGGGGGACCGAAAGGCCUCGCGCUAUUGGAGCGGCCGAUGUCGGAUUAGCUAGUUGGUGGGGUAAAGGCUUACCAAGGCGACGAUCCGUAGCUGGUCUGAGAGGACGACCAGCCACACUGGGACUGAGACACGGCCCAGACUCCUACGGGAGGCAGCAGUGGGGAAUUUUGGACAAAGGGGGCAACCCUGAUCCAGCCAUGCCGCGUGCGGGAAGAAGGCCUUCGGGUUGUAAACCGCUUUUGUUCGGGAAGAAAUCCUCUGGGCUAACACCCCGGGGGGAUGACGGUACCGGAAGAAUAAGCACCGGCUAACUACGUG